rnacentral:rRNA from 1 species
AUUGAACGCUGGCGGCAGGCUUAACACAUGCAAGUCGAGCGAGCGGCGGACGGGUGAGUAAUGUCUGGGAAACUGCCGGAUGGAGGGGGAUAACUACUGGAAACGGUAGCUAAUACCGCAUACCAUCAGAUGUGCCCAGAUGGGAUUAGCUAGUAGGUGGGGUAAAGGCUAACCUAGGCGACGAUCCCUAGCUGGUCUGAGAGGUUGACCAGCCACACUGGAACUGGAACACGGUCCAGACUCCUACGGGAGGCAGCAGUGGGGAAUAUUGCACAAUGGGCUCAAGCCUGAUGCAGCCAUGCCGCGUGUGUGAAGAAGGCCUUCGGGUUGUAAAGCACUUGCAGCGAGGAGGCGUUGCUCGCAGAAGAAGCACCUGCUAACUCCGUGCCAGCCGCCGCGGUAAUUC